rnacentral:lncRNA from 1 species
UGACAGCCACACACUGGGCAAGGACAUAGCUGUUUUAUUUUCAUCUUCAUUCUAACGUAGGAAUCAUUAAAAUGUGAGACUGGCCCAAAGCCAGGUUUGCGCCUUCCUGGACUCUGCGCCAUUGGCUGUGUGUCUCCCCGAGGGAGAAUUCAGCCAGGGCUGGAGGAGUAGCCUGUCUGGCUGUUUUCCCUGUGCCGGAUGGAAAGGCUUGGGGAGCCUGCGGCUGGACAAGCCCCUCACUCCACCGUGAGUCUCUUUGGGGGCCUCUGCCUGCCUAGUCUCUUUUUCUAAAUCCUCCCCUUGAGGCGGUGGUCCACCCGUCCCAUCCACUGGCUUUUCUUAGUUCUUUUUUUCUUUGCUUUUUUAGGGCCGAACCCAUGGCACAUGGAGGUUCUCAGGCUAGGGGUCGAAUCAGAGCCUCAGCAGUCAGCCUCUGCCACAGUCACAGCAAGGCUGGAUCCGAGCCACAUCGGUGAUCUACACCACAGCUCUACGGCAAUGCUGGAUCCUUAACCCACUGAGUGAGGCCAGGGGUCGAACCUGCAUCCUCAUGGAUACUAGUUGGGUUCUUAACCUGCUGAGACACAAUGGGAACUCCCACUGGGUUGUCUAAUUCCAGUCCUGCUGGGAAGUGGGCCUGGACAGCAAACUGGCAUCCUCAGGACGAAAUCCCUUUCAGCUCCUCAUCUGGUCCCGGGCCCGACUCAGGGCUGGGUUCGCUCCUUCUCCCCCUAAGCCUACCGGGCCGCCUACCCCUUAGUUCUGAUGAGCGUCUGGUCCCCCUUCUGGGUCUGGGUGGCGCUUUCUGAACACCUGGCAGUGUCUGUCUCUUCCCUCCUCCCUCCCUCCUGGCUCCCACCCAGGCCUUUGCUGCUUCUUUCAUGUUUGGAAGACUCCAUGCUUUCCAGGCGUGGGCUCGGCUUUGGUUUCAUCCUGAAAGUCAGAACCUUCCUCUGUGUGAAGACGGCAUCCUCCAGGCCAAGUGCAGAGCAGGCUGGCGGCUGGCGGCUGGCUGCUGUCGAGGAAGCGGGGCGAAAAAGCCCUGAGAAUCACAUAAAAACAGCUUCCCCUAGAAUCAGAUAAAAACAGCUUCAGGCGAGGGAAGUAAUGUCCCUGCCAGCCCACAGCCCGUCACCCCAAACAGCUCCCCCCAGUUUGCCUGACUCUCUGCAGCAAUGACAGGUGUCAGGUGGCUGCCCCCACAGGGAGAGAGGUGGAUCUUACUUUCCUGGCGUGGCCGGGGGUGGCUGCUGAGGGGGUGAGCAGAGACAGAAAUUUAUGUCUCGUGUUUAGUGACACCCCAGACACAGGUGGGGUUUUCUUGAGUGACAAGUGUCACCGUGCGUCCCAGCGUGGGAUGGCUUCACGUGGGUGUUUGUGCGCUUGGAAGUUCACCUCCCCUCCUCCGCCCCCUGCCCCGGAUUCUCCCCUCACCUGCCGCUGCCCCUCCCAACCUCAGGAGGAAGAUGCUUUCCAGGUAACUGAAGCACGGAGGGACCCCAAGGGGCCCCUGCCUGUCUUCUGAACAUCGCGCCUGUGAGGAUUGCCAGGUGGGAGGAUCAGCUCAAAAGAGCUUCCCUCUAAGGGAGACCAUGGCCUCGGGGUUAUUGUCUUGGUUAGAUAAGGAACGGGGGCUGGUGUACUGGUCGUCUGAGCUGGCCGCUCAGGCUGUUGGAAGGCCAGGGUUAACUGACCGAGUACCAGCCAGCUGAAGGGUUCUCAGGCCAGUAAGUGCCCGGAUAACACACAGCCCUUUGGUGAGACCUGGGCUUGUCUCACUGGUGCAGCACGAGGGUGAUGGUCCAGGAGUCCCAGGGUCCACGUCCAGGCUUUCAUCAGUUACAGGUGUUCGGGGCUUGCAGGCACAGAGAAUUUGACAGUGAAUGAGAUGCUCCCGGGACCUAAUCAUGCCGCUUGAAUCAGGGUGGCAUUCCCUUGGGCCAGAGCGGGAUCCUGGAGCAAGGAGGAGCCACCUGGUGGCUGGGGAGUGCCCUGUGGGCAGUGGAGACGGCUGACCUGGAUCUUCAGAUCUGAGUCCGAGCCAAGACUUGGGGCCAGGAAGGCACAGGGUCCCCGUGGCAGAUGGCUCCUGGCUCUGGUCUGGUACCCCUCCUGCUGGGGGCAGGAGACACCCCGCUGUGGCCCUCCCCUGGCCCCCACCUGAAAGUGGCCUUGGCCUUGGCGUCAGCUUCUGGCUGCACUUGACAGAAGGGAAGGAAGGGGCACAGGGCCCUCCCUCUGCUGCCCUGGACCCAUGUGUCAGCCCCAAUGACAAGAACAGCCUCCCCUGUGCUGGGCCCUUGCUAGGCACUGUGCUGCCUUUUUUUUUUUUUUUUUUUUUUUUGGCUUUUUAGGGCCGCAUAUGGAAGUUCCCAGGAUGGGGGUCGAAUCAGAGCUGCAGCUGCCGGCCUACACCACAGCCACAGCAAUGCAGGAUCUGAGCCUUAUCUGCAACCCACACUACAGCUGACAGCAAUGCCAGAUCCUUAGCCCACUGAGCGAGGCCAAGGAUUGACCCACGUUCUCAUGGAUCCUAGUUGGGUUCAUUAACCGAUGAGCCACAACAGGAACUCUUGUGCUGCAUUUUAUGUCCUGUAACCCUUAGAAUGGUCUGGGGAGCGGGUGGUGUCAAUGUGCCGAGUUUUUAGAUGUCAGAACUGAGGCCCCAAGAGAGGAAGCCACGGGCCCCCAAACAUAUGCUCCAGAGGAAGGAGGAUGGCUGUGGCAGAGACAGGGUUUUCUGAGGGGGCCUGGCCCCCUCAAAUGUAGUAGGGUGCCACUCUGCUGUCACCAUCCUGAGUAGCCCGCAAACCCUCACUCCCUGGUGGAAGGCAGGCCCGAAGGGGACCCGUGCUGCCGUGAGAGAAUGGUGGCUGCAGCUGGAGCUGGUACUGGGGACUGCCUGGUCCAACACGCAGGACCGCCCCGGGGUACCCGUCCCUGAUCCACCGUGACUCAGAGACACUGCGAUGAUGCCACCAGGGCUGAGGAGCCUCGGCAACGACACUAACAGGAAGUACAGAAAGAAAGCCAGCUACACACUAACGUCUUCUCCUGGAGGAACAGGACUGAGAUCUCAGAAAAAGCAAAACACAGACCCCAAACAACAAGCCUGGGGCUUCAGAAGGAGGUGCUGACUCCACCCACCAGACCAGGAGGAUGCCUUCCAGAGGCCUCCCAAGGAGGAAAGCAAGGAGCUGGCUGAUCCUUCGGGGCCACCUUGGCUCUUUAAAUUAAAGACAUGCCUCAGUUUAACCAUCCAUAGCUUGGGAACAAGGGGCCUGGGCAGCCAUCAUUGUUUUCAUUUCUUUCAGAGCAAAGGGCUUGGAGUGAGUCUCCUCCGGCAAGGGACAAGGAGUAGCAGAGGCUGUUCUGUCCUGUUGCAGGCCCCAGGGGCUCAAGGGGCAGGGCUCUUUCCAGUAAAACAGGAACACUUGUCCCCCGAGUCCACUCUGCCUUCCUGAGCCUAUCACAGAGCAGGGAGGUUGAUGACAGAGUCCUGCCUGUGUGUGUCCUGAUUUCUGGUACAAGUUGUCACUGGCUGUGGAACCUCUGUUCCCAAGCCCUCCCAAAUGCCAGCCAUGCCGGCCACCCCCGCCCCCACACUUUCACCCUAGAGUGGGCAGAAGCACAGACAACCACACACGUGUGGACACCUAAGUGGGUGGAGCAGGUCCCGGGCGUAGCCUGUGCACACACUCACACCCGCACACGUGCACUCCCAGAGUUGCUUUGAUGCCGGGUGAGGCCAGGCUGUCUGGAGACUCAGGAUUGGGACUUAACAUCUCCAAAGGGGCCCCGUGCCUCCCCCAGGAGCCGUCUCCCUCUGGCGGGGGCCUGGCUGGAGGCACUUUUGUCCUCAGUGCCCCCACCCCAGGGCCCUGGUGUGCACACUGUCUCCUCUCUUGGACCUCUUCCUCUAGGGGUCCACAGGCUCAGCACCCCCGCAUCCCCACACCCGGCUGUGCUCAUCCCCCACCCGCCCCCGCUUGGCUUUUUGUAGGAGUGAGUGGAGGGUCUGCCCAGAGAAGAGGGGACAAUGGUCCCUUUCUGGACUCUCAUGGGGCUGCCGACAGUCCUCUCUCCUGAGAUUCUCUUCUACUCCCUCAUCCCUCCCACCAACCCCAGUAUAGGCACCCGUGAGGAAGAAGGGGGUCAGAGGUCACAUCCACCCCACUUUCUGGGUCAGUGCUUGGCCCAUAUUCUAAGCAGGGAGAGAGUGAUAGCCCUGUAAGCCGCCUGGGCACCUGUUGGGGACACUUGGCUGGCCCCAUUCAUGGGCGAAGUUCCAUGCUGUUGUACAUGGGGCCAUUUGUUUAUUUUUUUUAAGCAGCAUACAUAGAAACAAGACUGGUUCUGUGUGUUUCAGUUGAAUUUACAUACGGAUGAGUGUUGUGUUGUGAUGUAUAGUUUUUCAUACCAUGAUUGGCUUUGUUUGGGUCUCUCUUCUUUUGGGUAAACUAAUCACGGUACAUUUCUGUUGUUCUCCAACAAGACCCACUCUCUGAUCUCCCAGGGCUUCCUCAUCUCCCUUCUAUCCUGUGGGGUCCACCCCACCCCCAGAGGCUUCCCCUGGGGUGCUAUCCAGCCAAGAGGGUUUUCCAGCCCCUGUUCUAAUGACUGGAGCCUUCCUUGGUUCCAAGAGAGGAUACCACAGACACAGGGAAGCUUCUAGACUUUGGCCCAAAUCUUGCAGCCUGGGGCCCAGGCCUGCCCGCCCCUUAGCUCUUUCAUAAGCUCAGAACCCAGCCCCCAGCCCCCCAGCCCCAGCCCCCAGCCCCAGCCCCCGACACCGCCCCCGCAGAUCUGCCCGCUGCUGCGGCUGCGUCUCCACGGCGCCCUCUAGGGGCCGAGCAGUGUUCCUUUCUCCAGCGUUCCGCUAGCUUUAAAAUGCGUAAUUCAAGCACCCUUACUGAACACAUAGUGAAACGUACAAAUAAAAACCGGUGUACAUAUCUCCAUGUACAUAUUUAUAGAUUCCUAUUAUAAAUGUAUAAAGCAUGGCAUCUCUUUGACAUUCCAAGUUUGCGUUUUUUUAAAAUCCCGGAACUAUGGCUUUGGAAACCUUUUCUGCCGUUCCCUCUUUUCUAUGUAAUAAACAUUCAUGUGGCCUUUCUGGUGGCAU